rnacentral:rRNA from 1 species
AAUCUGGGGUCGCCGACCUCCGAGUUGUAAUUUGGAGAGGCAUCUUCGGGGUGGAGCGCCGGCCCCAUGUUCCUUGGAACAGGACGUCGCAGAGGGUGAGAAUCCCGUGCCAGGCCGGCCGCCUCCGCCCCAUCGAGGGGCCUUCGACGAGUCGAGUUGUUUGGGAAUGCAGCUCCAAGUGGGUGGUAAAUUUCAUCUAAAGCUAAAUACCGGCGGGAGACCGAUAGCGCACAAGUAGAGUGAUCGAAAGAUGAAAAGCACUUUGAAAAUAGAGUCAAAAAGUACGUGAAAUUGUUGAAAGGGAAGCGCUUGAGACCAGACCCAGACCCGGGCAAACACCGCGCCCCUCGGGGCCGUGCAAUUGCCCGUGGCUGGGCCAGCAUCAGUCGGCCCGGCGGGACAAAUGCGAGGGGAAUGUGUCUCCCCUCGGGGAGUGUUUAUUAGCCCCUCGCCCAAUGCCGCCCGAGCCGACUGUGGACCGCGCCUCGGCUAGGAUGCUGGCUUAAUGGCCUUCAGCGACCCGUCUUGAAACACGGACCAAGGAGUCUAACAUCUAUGCGAGUGUUUGGGCUUCAAACCCUUGCGCGGAAUGAAAGUGAGCGGAGGUGGGAACCCCCCCGCGGGGCGCACCAUCGACCGAUCCUGAUGUCCUCGGAUGGAUUUGAGUA